rnacentral:rRNA from 1 species
AACGAACGCUGGCGGCAUGCCUAACACAUGCAAGUCGAACGAGACCUUCGGGUCUAGUGGCGCACGGGUGCGUAACGCGUGGGAACCUGCCCUUAGGUUCGGAAUAACUCCCCGAAAGGGGUGCUAAUACCGGAUAAUGUCUUCGGACCAAAGAUUUAUCGCCUUUGGAUGGGCCCGCGUUGGAUUAGCUAGUUGGUAGGGUAAAAGCCUACCAAGGCGACGAUCCAUAGCUUGUCUGAGAGGAAGAUCAGCCACACUGGGACUGAGACACGGCCCAGAAUCCUACGGGAGGGAGGAGUGGGGGACAUUGGAACAUGGGCGAAAGCCUGAUCCAGCAAUGCCGCGUGAGUGAUGAAGGCCUUAGGGUUGUAAAGCUCUUUUACCCGGGAUGAUAAUGACAGUACCGGGAGAAUAAGCUCCGGCUAACUCCGUG